AUUGAACGCUGGCGGCAUGCCUUACACAUGCAAGUCGAACGGCAGCACGGGAGCUUGCUCCUGGUGGCGAGUGGCGAACGGGUGAGUAAUACAUCGGAACGUACCCUGAAGUGGGGGAUAACGUAGCGAAAGUUACGCUAAUACCGCAUAUUCUGUGAGCAGGAAAGAGGGGGAUCGCAAGACCUCUUGCUUUAGGAGCGGCCGAUGUCGGAUUAGCUAGUUGGUGAGGUGAAGGCUCACCAAGGCGACGAUCCGUAGCGGGUCUGAGAGGAUGAUCCGCCACACUGGGACUGAGACACGGCCCAGACUCCUACGGGAGGCAGCAGUGGGGAGUUUUGGACAAUGGGCGCAAGCCUGAUCCAGCCAUGCCGCGUGAGUGAAGAAGG
rnacentral:rRNA from 1 species